GAGUUUGAUCAUGGCUCAGGAUGAUCGCUGGCGGCACGCUUGACACAUGCAAGUCGAACGGGGGUCGAAGACCCCAGUGGCGAACGGGUGCGUAACGCGCGAGGACCUACCCUCGGGAGAAGGACAACUUGCGGAAACGCUCGCUAAUACUUCAUAGGUCGAGGGACGAAAGGAGAGCAACUCCGCCCGGGGAUGGACUCGCGUCUGAUUAGUUAGUUGGGGGGGUGACGGCUCACCAAGACCACGAUCAGUAGCUGGUUUGAGAGAACGAUCAGCCACAUUGGGACUGAGACACGGCCCAGACUCCUCCGGGAGGCAGCAGUGAGGAAUCUUCCGCAAUGGGCGAAAGCCUGACGGAGCGAUGUCGCGUGGAGGAACGAGGGACUCCGGUCUGUAAACUCCUUUUGCUGGGGGCGAACCCUGACGGUACCCAGAGAAUAAGCAUCGGCUAACUCCGUGCCAGCAGCCGCGGUAAGACGGGGGAUGCAAGCGUUAUCCGGAAUCAUUGGGCGUAAAGCGCCUGCAGGCGGUUCGGCGAGUCCGAGGUCAAAUACCACGGCCCAACCCUGGGAAGGCAACGGAGACUGCCGAACUAGAGGAUGGCAGAGGUAGGGGGAACUCCUAGUGUAGCGGUAAAAUGCGUAGAUAUUAGGAAGACCACCGGCGGCGAAGGCGCCCUACUGGACCAUUUCUGACGCUCAGAGGCGAAAGCUAGGGGAGCGAGAGGGAUUAGGUACCCCUGUAGUCCUAGCCGUAAACGAUGGACACUAGAUGUCGGCAGAACGCCGGUAUCGUAGCUAACGCGUUAAGUGUCCCCGCCUGGGGAGUACGCUCGCAAGGGUGAAACUCAAAGGAAUUGACGGGGGCCUGCACAAGCGGUGGAGCAUGUGGUUUAAUUCGAUGCAACGCGAAAAACCUUACCAAGACUUGACAUGCCCCUCCGAAGAGGGAGGGGACACAGGUGGUGCAUGGCAGUCGUCAGCUCGUGUCGUGAGAUGUCUGGUUGAGUCCUGUAACGAGCGCGACCCUCAUCGUAAGUUGCCUGCGGGGUAGGAGCACAUGGGUGGGUCACCCCCUGAGCGGGCAAACUGGCGAGACUGCCGGCGAAAACCGGAGGAAGGUGAGGACGACGUCAAGUCAGCAUGCCCCUUACGUCUUGGGCUACACACGUGCUACAAUGGCCGUGACAAUGGGACGCUAACGAAAAGGGCGCUAACCCCAAACUCGGCCUUAGUUCGGAUUGCAGGCUGAAACUCGCCUGCAUGAAGCUGGAGUCGCUAGUAAUCGCUGGUCAGAAUACAGCGGUGAAUACGUUCCCGGGCCUUGUACACACCGCCCGUCACACCAUGGAAGUUGGUCGCACCCGAAGUCACCCACCGACGACAAGGCCACGUUGCUUUGUGGAGGGCGCCCACUGGGGGCUCCCUACGGCGCCAGUGGCCAGGAGGCGGUGCCGAAGGCGGGGUCAGCAACCAGGGUGAAGUCGUAACAAGGUAACC
rnacentral:rRNA from 1 species